AACAAGGCGUACCUGCGGACCUGCGGAAGGAUCAUUACCGAGUGCGGGCCCGCUCUGGGCCCAACCUCCCACCCGUGUCUCUUGCGUACUUUGUUGCUUUGGCGGGCCCACUGGGUCACUCCGGUCGCCGGGGGGCGCUAUGCUCCCGGGCCCGUGCCCGCCAGAGCACCCCUGUGAACCCUGAUGAAGAGAGGCUGUCUGAGUCCCACGAUAAUCGUUAAAACUUUCAACAAUGGAUCU
rnacentral:misc_RNA from 1 species